AUGAUCAUCAUCAAGAAAGGAAAACACACAAAUGGACCAUGCAAACUAAGAUGGUUUUUGGUUGGACUUUAUGACCUUAAAGUGGACUGGAAAACUGGAUCCCAUAGAACCCAAGUGGCACUGAGGUUCUUCUACCAGCAGGAUGGUGUGUGGCUGCAGAUAAAAAAAGAUAAACCACUUUCCCUUAUAAAGGAAAGGUGAGCAUUGAGUGCCCUCCUCUGGCUUUUCAGAUUCUUUCAGAAAUGUGAGAAAAUUAGGACCAAUUCCAAGAAUGUCCCUCAACUCCAGAUUCUUGGGCUGAGAAACUGAUGGGAAACUCACUCUGGGGAGAAAGAAAAAUAAAGCAAGCAAGCAAGCAAGCA
rnacentral:lncRNA from 1 species